rnacentral:rRNA from 1 species
GAUGAACGCUGGCGGCGUGCCUAAUACAUGCAAGUCGAGCGAACGGACGAGAAGCUUGCUUUUCUGAUGUUAGCGGCGGACGGGUGAGUAACACGUGGAUAACCUACCUAUAAGACUGGGAUAACUUCGGGAAACCGGAGCUAAUACCGGAUAAUAUUUUGAACCGCAUGGUUCAAAAGUGAAAGACGGUCUUGCUGUCACUUAUAGAUGGAUCCGCGCUGCAUUAGCUAGUUGGUAAGGUAACGGCUUACCAAGGCAACGAUGCAUAGCCGACCUGAGAGAGUGAUCGGCGACACUGGAACUGAGACACGGUCCAGACUCCUACGGGAGGCAGCAGUAGAGAAUCUUCCGCAAUGGGCGAAAGCCUGACGGAGCAACGCCGCAUGAGUGAUGAGGGUCUUCGGAUCGUAAAGCUCUGUUAUUAGGGAAGAACAUAUGUUUAAGUAACUGUGCACAUCUUGACGGUACCUAAUCAGAAAGCCACGGCUAACUACGUG